UCCGCAGUAGCUCAGUGGUAGAGCUAUCGGCUGUUAACCGAUCGGUCGUAGGUUCGAACCUACCUGCGGAGCCA
rnacentral:tRNA from 1 species